rnacentral:tRNA from 1 species
GUCUGGCUGGCUCAGUCUGUAGAGCACAUGACUCUUGAUCUUGGGGUUGUAAGUUAGAGUCCCACGCUGGGUU